UACAGAGGUCUCAAGCGUUUGUCGGAUUCAUUGGGCGUAAAGGGUGCGUAGGUGGCGCUGUAAGUCGGGUGUGAAAUUUCGGAGCUUAACUCCGAAACUGCAUUCGAUACUGCGGUGCUUGAGGACUGGAGAGGAGACUGGAAUUCAUGGUGUAGCAGUGAAAUGCGUAGAGAUCAUGAGGAAGACCAGUGGCGAAGGCGGGUCUCUGGACAGUUCCUGACACUGAGGCACGAAGGCCAGGGGAGCAAACGGG
rnacentral:rRNA from 1 species